AUUGAACGCUGGCGGCAGGCUUAACACAUGCAAGUCGAGCGGAGUGAUGGUGCUUGCACUAUCACUUAGCGGCGGACGGGUGAGUAAUGCUUAGGAAUCUGCCUAUUAGUGGGGGACAACAUCUCGAAAGGGAUGCUAAUACCGCAUACGUCCUACGGGAGAAAGCAGGGGAUCACUUGUGACCUUGCGCUAAUAGAUGAGCCUAAGUCGGAUUAGCUAGUUGGUGGGGUAAAGGCCUACCAAGGCGACGAUCUGUAGCGGGUCUGAGAGGAUCAUCCGCCACACUGGGGCUGAGACACGGCCCAGACUCCUACUGGAGUCAGCAGUGGUGAAUAUUGGACAAUGGGGGGAACCCUGAUCCAGCCAUGCCGCGUGUGUGAAGAAGGCCUUAUGGUUGUAAAGCACUUUAAGCGAGGAGGAGGCUCUUUUGGUUAAUACCCAAGAUGAGUGGACGUUACUCGCAGAAUAAGCACCGGCUAACUCUGUGCCAGCCGCCGCAGUAA
rnacentral:rRNA from 1 species